rnacentral:rRNA from 1 species
AGCGAACGCUGGCGGCAGGCCUAACACAUGCAAGUCGAACGCCCCUUCGGGGGAGUGGCGGACGGGUGAGUAACGCGUGGGAAUGUGCCCUUUGGUACGGAACAACUGAGGGAAACUUCAGCUAAUACCGUAUGUGCCCUACGGGGGAAAGAUUUAUCGCCAUUGGAGCAGCCCGCGUUGGAUUAGGUAGUUGGUGGGGUAAUGGCCCACCAAGCCGACGAUCCAUAGCUGGUCUGAGAGGAUGAUCAGCCACACUGGGACUGAGACACGGCCCAGACUCCUACGGGAGGCAGCAGUGGGGAAUCUUGCGCAAUGGGCGAAAGCCUGACGCAGCCAUGCCGCGUGUAUGAUGAAGGUCUUAGGAUUGUAAAAUACUUUCACCGGGGAAGAUAAUGACGGUACCCGGAGAAGAAGCCCCGGCUAACUUCGUGCCAGCCGCCGCCGUAACAC